ensembl:lncRNA
GGGCGUGGCUUGGAGCGGAUAUGAAGACUGUGGGAACCUCCGGCCUCUCUUUCUCGGUUUCCUGGCUGCCCCUAGGCUGUGGGCCGCCUCCUCUGGCGCAUAUUCCCACGGAAGCAGACUGUGCCACCCCGAGGGCCCUGAGCCAGUGCAAGCCUCUCCUGCUUUCAGUUACGAGCCCAGGUGUCAGGAGAAUGCUAAACUAUAAGGAAGAAUGAGAAAAAGACAUGGAAACUGAGUCAGAUAUUGAAGCAAAUUAAAAGAAGUCACUCCACAGAGCUCUACUGUAAAAUAGAUCGGAGAUAAAGACUCAACCUGGUUUUCCAAGAUGAUGACAGUGGAUUAGAGACACACAUAAUCAGGAGGAGGCCACCCCAGCUGACUAACUUGCAGAUUUGAAGAUAUAAUGGCACCGCCUCCAGUCUCUGAUGACUUAAAUGAAUCUCACCUUCUGAUGACUGAAGGAAAAUGUGUUCCUGAGUGCGAAGAAUGGUCCAAUUUUCAUUACCUCCCAGAGGCAGAGCCUGCGAAGACGCUGAGCUGGGCUGCACAAUUCACCGACAGAGCAGAGCUUUCAGGGGCUCCACGGCACCCGUCCUCACCUAGGAAAAGCCCUGCACUCAGCCCAUGCUCGGAGUCACGCUCCGCCGUGUCCCGGUCCGGUAACGCAGGGCAGCCUGGAUCUCUUGCUUUCUUAUGACCCCAUCCCCAAAUACACCCUCUCAGCUCUAUUGGAACAAACCCAAAGUGCGGUAUCAUCAGUUCUAAACCGAAGGCCUGUUUCCUGACUUUCUAUGGAGAACUGUGUGACUUUGUAAUUAGGAAAAAGGCACAAUUUUUGCUUUUAACUGACAAGUGGUAAUUGUGUAUAUUUGUGAGGUACAGUGUGAUGGCUGCACGUACACACGCAUUACAGAAGGAUCCAGUCAAGACAGUUAUCAUAGCCAGACCUUGCAUUCACACCUUCCUGUGGUCUGUGGUGAAGAAUCUAUUUUGGCAGUGUGGGAAUGGACGAGGCACUGUUAGCUGUGGUCACCACAAAGAGCAGAGCGCUGGACUCACUGCCCAGCCUGCCUCGGACCCUGCCCGAGUGACCACACCUGCUGUCCCCACCUCUCCCUCCUGGGGCCUGUGUGCAGCACCUUUCUGUUCUCCCUUUCCAUGAGGCCCACAUAUAAGAGAGACUAUGUACUACAGUGGAGCCUCGAGUUAUGACUGACCCGACAUACGAACAACCUGGGUCAUGACUGGAAUCUUAGUUUUAACUUAUGACCAGAGUCAUGAGUUAUGACCCAGAUGGUCUCAGAUACAGAUUUAACCCCUAAAGAGUCCUGGAAGGAACAUGACAACAUCCUUACCUGUGUGGGGUUGAGAAAUCCUGGCCCAGUGUCUCUCUAAGGACACUGGGAUCUGCCAGGAGACAGACUCUGAAGGCUGUGUAGAGGAGCCUGAGGCUUCACCGAUGAACUUGAGUCACAACCAGUCCUCGGGAACAAAUUGAGUUUGUAAGUCAAGGGUCCACAGUAUUUGUCUUUCUGCUCCUGGCUGACUUCACUUAGUGUAACGCCCAA